CAGUAGCCGCGGUAAUACGAAGGGUGCAAGCGUUACUCGGAAUUACUGGGCGUAAAGCGUGCGUAGGUGGUGGUUUAAGUCCGUUGUGAAAGCCCUGGGCUCAACCUGGGAAUUGCAGUGGAUACUGGGUCACUAGAGUGUGGUAGAGGAUAGUGGAAUUUCCGGUGUAGCAGUGAAAUGCGUAGAGAUCGGAAGGAACAUCUGUGGCGAAGGCGACUAUCUGGGCCAACACUGACACUGAGGCACGAAAGCGUGGGGAGCAAACAGGAUUAGAUACACCCGUAGUCCCUGUCUCUUAUAC
rnacentral:rRNA from 1 species